GAGUUUGAUCGUGGCUCAGAACGAACGCUGGCGGCAGGCUUAACACAUGCAAGUCGAACGAACGUAGCAAUACGUUAGUGGCGCACGGGUGAGUAACGCGUGGAUAUCUGCCUUUUGGUUCGGGAUAACCUUGGGAAACUAGGGCUAAUACCGAAUGGUUCCUACGGGAUAAAGAUUUAUCGCCAAAAGAUGAGUCCGCGUCCGAUUAGCUAGUUGGCGGGGUAAUGGCCCACCAAGGCGACGAUCGGUAGCUGGUCUGAGAGGACGAUCAGCCACACUGGGACUGAGACACGGCCCAGACUCCUACGGGAGGCAGCAGUGGGGAAUAUUGGACAAUGGGGGCAACCCUGAUCCAGCCAUGCCGCGUGAGUGAUGAAGGCCUUCGGGUU
rnacentral:rRNA from 1 species